GUCAAAGCAAUCUUGUGGUGAAGCCUGAUUUCAUGAGGUGGGAUAUAUCACCUUCCUAAGGGACCCAUAGAGAAGGGGAGAAGAUUUUUGAAACAAACUGUUUAAGCAUGUGUUGUUGUUGCUGCGGUUCGACGGAGUCUCUCUCUGUCAUAUUAGUUAGUGCUCAAUAUACUUGUGAUUAUGUUAUUUUGCUACUCAGAAACUUUCAAUAGUUCUUCAUUGCCUUCGGAGCAAAACACAAAUUCAUGAGCCUGGUGUUCAAAGUAUCUUCACGGUAGAGGUCCUAUAUAUCUAGAAUUAUCUGUAUGAACUCUCCACUGUGGUCAACUUAAUCUACUUGCCACUCCCCAAACACACCUCUGCCACUCUCUCUCUCUGGAAUUCUUCCCACCUUGUCAAAAUGCUACCCAUCUUAUAAAGCCUAUGUCAAAUAUUUGUGUAUAUUUUAUGGUCUCUAUUGGAUUGUGUGUUCCCUGAAGACAAACAGAGUAUCUUUCACAUUUGUGUGUUCCAUGGGCACCUUGCCCAUGGUAGGGGAAGGGGAAAAAUUAGCAUUUACUGAACACCUCCCGUGUGCCAGAGAUAGUGGAAAUUGCUUUACAUAUGCUAUCUCAUUAAACCCUGAGAGCAACUCUAUUCAAUAGGGAUUAUUAUUCUAAUUCAUUGAUCAUAAAACUGAGGUUCAAUGGCGUGAUUUUUCCAAGGUCACAAAGCUAGUUAUUGCUAGAGUCAAAAUUUGAAACUG
rnacentral:lncRNA from 1 species